CGCACAUUGCGCCCAUUGGUAUUCCGAUGGGCAUGCCUGUUCGAGCGUCAUUAACACAAUCAAGCCCUGCUUGGUGUUGGGAAUAUAUCGGGACCUGUUCUCGAUUCACCCUAAAUAAAUCAGCGAUCAACGCAGCUAUCUCGUGCAGCACAUGCUCAGGGUGGUUCGCGGAUGAAGGCUGUAAAAAUAUCAAAGUUUGACCUCGGAUCAGGUAGGGAUACCCGCUGAACUUAA
rnacentral:misc_RNA from 1 species